GUUGGUCAGAGCCACACGGGGGCUGCGACGUGAGGGGAGGCGCUCAGCCUGGGGGCGCUGGUGACCAGCACGUCUUCUGCACAAACUCUGAGCCUUCUCGCCAACGCCUCAACCUCGGCCUUGGACUUGAACAAGCACUAACAUACUUUCUAACAGCUCAAGGCUGCGUUCCUGGGAUGACUCCCGUCCCCUUAAAGUGCUGCCUGGGAAGAACUCAAGGCUGCCAAGAGAAUUCACUGUUUGUUCCAGCCAACACCUGAUGACAGCCACCUGCCACCGCUGCCUGCCUCCCAGCCUCUGGGGGAGCGCAGCAGCCUGACUUUGGUGAGUACCGGGGAGCAAACCCCGAUGGGGUUCACAUGGACUGACCCGCCUUCCCUCCUCCUAUAAGUUUUCACUGCCCUGUCUCUGCUCAAGCCCCUGCUACCCUGCAGUCACCUCCGCACACAUGCAAGGGCUUCAGCUCUUUCCCCAGCUGGCAGCCGUUGCCAAAUAAAAUCCAUUCUCACUGCUUCAGCUAAUCUCUCAUGGUGGGAUGUGUGGUCAGGCAGGAUGUGUGGAUGAAGGGAUGCUGCACCAGGGCCUGGGCAGGCCCCAGCUCAUGCACAGGACACACGGAGUCCAAAGAACAGGAAGACGCUUGAUGAGGGCGGAAAAGCCAGUCUGGAAGGGAAUCGACCUGCUGAAGGAGCACAGAUACAUUUUAUUUAUACCCCACCAUGUUCCGGGAAGGUUUCUAGAAGACUUUAUAAGGAUUCAUAAAAUGCAGCAUCAUAAUGAAAGGUAAGGGUAGAGAAAAUAGUUUUAAAAAAUCAGUGUGGAAAUGGAUUCUCAUUGCAUUUAAGAAUCUCGCCGGCAACCAUAGAAAUGUCCAGUAGCAGAACUGUGAUUUGAACCUGGCUCUUGCAGCUGCUAAACAAUCCGGUGUUUGUGCUGAGCUGGACUGAUUCAGACUGAGUAACAGGAAGACACAGGCGAACUUCAGAGGUCACACUUCCUGGAGGACAGGCUGCAGGUGGGUUAUGAGCCAUGCAUGCCACACUGGGGUCUGUUUCUACUAUGCCCUGGGCUGGGCUGGGCCUCAGGAGACGCAAGGGCCACUCCCAGCUCCACGAGUCACUAGAACAGAGUCACAAAGUUCCUUUUUAAAAGCCGUGCAAUGACUGAGCAUCUACUGUGGUCAAGGCAUGCCCUGAUGGGUACAGGCUCCAGAUGUGAACAAGACAGACAUUGCCUCUGUCUUCGGGGAACUCACAGUCCAGUGAGUAAGGCAGAUGUUAAGGAAAGAAAUAUAAGCAUAAUAAACAAGUUACAGGUGCUAUGAGGGUAAAAAGA
rnacentral:lncRNA from 1 species